UAGCUUAUUAUGACCCAUCCGUCAGUUGAUCAAGUCGUAAUAAUAGGGAUACCUCAUGGUGUAGAUGGCGAUCAUCCUAUGGCUGUAAUUGUCCCUAAGGAAUCUUCAACGGCGCCUAUAGACGAAGAAGAUAUCAUCAAAUUCGUAGAGGAAAGAGUAGAGGAAAAAGUCUCACAUAUAAUGAGGCUUACAGCAGGAGUUAAGUUUGUUACUUCUAUUCCUAUGACUCCUUCGGGAAAAAUAAGAAGAAGGGAGGUGAAGAAAAUGGUUUUAGACGGGGAUCUUUAACAAUAUUUUAAUUUUUUCUUGUUUUGUAUUAUUUAAUAUUAUUACUAAUAUUAAUUACCUAAAUUAAGGAACCAAAA
rnacentral:lncRNA from 1 species